GACGAACGCUGGCGGCGUGCUUAACACAUGCAAGUCGAACGAAAAUACCAAGCUUGCUUGGUUGAUUAGUGGCGAACGGGUGAGUAACACGUGAGUAACCUGCCCCUUACUUUCCUGGAUAACUGCUCGAAAGGGUAGCUAAUACGGGAUAUUCUGACCUGCCUGCAUGGGUUGGUUUGGAAAGGUUAUUUUUUUUCUGGUAAGGGAUGGGCUCGCGGCCUAUCAGCUUGUUGGUGGGGUGAUGGCCUACCAAGGCUUUGACGGGUAGCCGGCCUGAGAGGGUGGACGGUCACACUGGGACUGAGAUACGGCCCAGACUCCUACGGGAGGCAGCAGUGGGGAAUAUUGCACAAUGGGCGCAAGCCUGAUGCAGCGACGCCGCGUGAGGGAUGAAGGCCUUCGGGUUGUAAACCUCUUUCGUCAGGGAACAAGGCACUGUCUUUUUGGUGGUGUUGAGGGUACCUGGAUAAGAAGCGCCGGCUAACUACGUGCCAGCAGCCGCGGUAAUACGUAGGGCGCAAGCGUUGUCCGGAAUUAUUGGGCGUAAAGGCUCGUAGGCGGCUGGUCGCGUCUGUCGUGAAAACUUCCGGCUCAACCGGGGGCUUGCGGGGGGUACGGGCCGGCUAAGUGCGGUAGGGGGUAACUGGAGUUCCUGGUGUAGCGGUGUAAUUGGCCGAAUAUCAAAGAAGAACACCGAUGGCGAAAGCGGGUUACUUGGGGCGUUUUCUGACGCUGAGAAGCGAGAGCGUGGGGGGGGGAGAAGAAGGAGUAGCCUUGUAUUCUCGAGGAAUUCCGCCAAGGAUAUUAUUGUUUUGGUUCCGUCGGCCGCGGAGGGGGCCCCGUACCCGGGGUAAUAAGUAAGGAGGGAAACGUAUACAACUCGGAGUCUGCUAUAAAAACAAUGAAAAGGAAGGGGUGCGGGGGGGGGCGAGUGAAUAAACGAGUAC
rnacentral:rRNA from 1 species